rnacentral:tRNA from 1 species
GACUCCGUGGCUCAAUGGUAGCGCGUCUGACUCCAGAUCAGAAGGUUGCGUGUUAAAAUCACGUCGCGGUCG